UACGAAGGGGGCUAGCGUUGCUCGGAAUCACUGGGCGUAAAGGGUGCGUAGGCGGGUCUUUAAGUCCGGGGUGAAAUCCUGGAGCUCAACUCCAGAACUGCCUUUGAUACUGAGGAUCUUGAGUUCGGGAGAGGUGAGUGGAACUGCGAGUGUAGAGGUGGAAUUCGUAGAUAUUAGGAAGAACACCAGUGGCGAAGGCGGCUCACUGGUCCGGUACUGACGCUGAGGUGCGAAAGCGUGGGGAGCAAACAGG
rnacentral:rRNA from 1 species